rnacentral:rRNA from 1 species
UACGAAGGGGGCUAGCGUUGCUCGGAAUUACUGGGCGUAAAGCGCACGUAGGCGGGUUGUUAAGUCGGGGGUGAAAUCCUGGAGCUCAACUCCAGAACUGCCUUUGAUACUGAGGAUCUUGAGUUCGGGAGAGGUGAGUGGAACUGCGAGUGUAGAGGUGAAAUUCGUAGAUAUUCGCAAGAACACCAGUGGCGAAGGCGGCUCACUGGCCCGAUACUGACGCUGAGGCACGAAAGCGUGGGGAGCAAACAGG